rnacentral:rRNA from 1 species
UGACCAGCCAUGCCGCGUGGAGGAUGAAGGCCCUCUGGGUUGUAAACUUCUUUUAUUGGGGAAGAAACCGGUGUUUUCUAACGCCGUUGACGGUACCUGAUGAAUAAGCACCGGCUAACUCCGUGCCAGCAGCCGCGGUAAUACGGAGGGUGCAAGCGUUAUCCGGAUUCACUGGGUUUAAAGGGUGCGUAGGUGGGCAGGUAAGUCAGUGGUGAAAUCUCCGGGCUUAACCCGGAAACUGCCGUUGAUACUAUUUGUCUUGAAUAUAGUGGAGGUGAGCGGAAUAUGUCAUGUAGCGGUGAAAUGCUUAGAUAUGACAUAGAACAUCGAUUGCGAAGGCAGCUCGCUACACUAUUAUUGACACUGAGGCACGAAAGCGUGGGGAUCAAACAGGAUUAGAUACCCUGGUAGUCCACGCCCUAAACGAUGGAUACUCGACAUCAGCGAUACACGGUUGGUGUCUGAGCGAAAGCAUUAAGUAUCCCACCUGGGAAGUACGACCGCAAGGUUGAAACUCAAUGAAAUUU